rnacentral:rRNA from 1 species
AUUGAACGCUGGCGGCAGGCCUAACACAUGCAAGUCGAGCGAGCGGCGGACGGGUGAGUAAUGUCUGGGAAACUGCCUGAUGGAGGGGGAUAACUACUGGAAACGGUAGCUAAUACCGCAUACCAUCAGAUGUGCCCAGAUGGGAUUAGCUAGUAGGUGGGGUAAUGGCUCACCUAGGCGACGUGCCCUAGCUGGUCUGAUAGGAUGACCAGCCACAAUGGAACUGAGAAACGGUCCAGAGUCCUACGGGAGGCAGCAGUGGGGAAUAGUGCACAAUGGGGGCAAGCCUGAGACAGCCAUGCCGCGUGUAUGAAGAAGGCCUACGGGUUGUAAAGUACUUUCAGAGAGGAGGCGUUACUCGCAGAAGAAGCACCGGCUAACUCCGUGCCAGCCGCCGCGGUAAUUC